GAUGAAGAACGCAGCGAAAUGCGAUACUUGGUGUGAAUUGCAGAAUCCCGUGAACCAUCGAGUCUUUGAACGCAAGUUGCGCCCGAAGCCAUUAGGCCGAGGGCACGCCUGCCUGGGCGUCACACGUCGUUGCCCCCCCAUCUACUCCUUCGGGAUUGCGGGGGGCGGAUGAUGGCCUCCCGUGCGCCCCGCCGCGCGGUUGGCAUAAAUGCCAAGUCCUCGGCGACGCACGCCACGACAAUCGGUGGUUGCGAAACCUCGGUUGCCCGUCGUGUGCGGUCGUCGCGCAUCGAGGGCUCGAAAAAAUUGCCGGGUUCCGGCUCGGCUUUCAACGCGACCCCAGGUCAGGCGGGGUUACCCGCUGAAUUUAAGCAUAUCAAUAAGCGGAGGA
rnacentral:misc_RNA from 1 species